rnacentral:rRNA from 1 species
CGCUCGCUCGCUCUCCUCUUCCUCCCUCUCCCCGCACCAAAAGCAGCAAAGCUCUGCUCAGCAUUUCGCUCGAAAUACACAUACACACACGUAUCAUGGCGGCUUCAGCGGCCUGCUCCUUCUUCUUCUUCGACGCCGAGCCGCUCGGCGAGCCCGGCAUGCCGGCGCAGGACGCGUGCGCGCUCUGCACCAAGCCGCUCGCGCGCGACAGCGACAUCUUCAUGUACAAGGGCGACACGCCCUUCUGCAGCGAGGAGUGCCGCGACGAGCAGAUGCAGCUCGACGCCAUCGCCGCCAGGCAGGCCGCCCGGAGGCAGCAGCGGUUCUCGUCGGGAACGGAGGCCCGGAGCGGGCACCAGGAGUCCAGGAAGGUGUCCGUCGCGAGCUAGCCGGCGAAGCUCGUGGCCGAUAGAGUAGAGCUCGGCUUGAAUCAACGGGAUCCCAAGAAUCACCGAUCUGGCGAGGCCAAGGAGAUUGAUCUCUCUUUCUUGUCUCGCCUGUGCCGGAGAAGCAGUGAAGGAUCUGAGAAAGUUCAUGUGCUGAGGCUCCGGCCAUCUGAGUCGCCCGCUGGACGCAUCCUUCUCCUGGCUCCUUUUUGCCUCUGUGUGCGUGUUUGUUUGAGGCUUUGAGCCGCGGUUGUGGCAACACCAUAUGUAAAUCGAAACCAUCUGGAAAUCAGUAUUUCAGCACAAAAUUUUGC